AAAAAAGUUUGUUUGGGUUUU
rnacentral:miRNA from 1 species